CGGGGGGGGCUAUACAUGCAGUCGAGCGAACUGAUUAGAAGCUUGCUUCUAUGACGUUAGCGGCGGACGGGUGAGUAACACGUGGGCAACCUGCCUGUAAGACUGGGAUAACUUCGGGAAACCGAAGCUAAUACCGGAUAGGAUCUUCUCCUUCAUGGGAGAUGAUUGAAAGAUGGUUUCGGCUAUCACUUACAGAUGGGCCCGCGGUGCAUUAGCUAGUUGGUGAGGUAACGGCUCACCAAGGCAACGAUGCAUAGCCGACCUGAGAGGGUGAUCGGCCACACUGGGACUGAGACACGGCCCAGACUCCUACGGGAGGCAGCAGUAGGGAAUCUUCCGCAAUGGACGAAAGUCUGACGGAGCAACGCCGCGUGAGUGAUGAAGGCUUUCGGGUCGUAAAACUCUGUUGUUAGGGAAGAACAAGUACGAGAGUAACUGCUUGUACCUUGACGGUACCUAACCAGAAAGCCACGGCUAACUACGUGCCAGCAGCCGCGGUAAUACGUAGGUGGCAAGCGUUAUCCGGAAUUAUUGGGCGUAAAGCGCGCGCAGGCGGUUUCUUAAGUCUGAUGUGAAAGCCCACGGCUCAACCGUGGAGGGUCAUUGGAAACUGGGGAACUUGAGUGCAGAAGAGAAAAGCGGAAUUCCACGUGUAGCGGUGAAAUGCGUAGAGAUGUGGAGGAACACCAGUGGCGAAGGCGGCUUUUUGGUCUGUAACUGACGCUGAGGCGCGAAAGCGUGGGGAGCAAACAGGAUUA
rnacentral:rRNA from 2 species